rnacentral:rRNA from 1 species
ACGGGGUGCAGCAGGCGCGAAAACUUUACAAUGCUGGAAACAGCGAUAAGGGAACCUCGAGUGCCGCGAUACAAUCGCGGCUGUCUAGUUGCCUAAAAAGCAAUUGAUAGCAAGGGCCGGGCAAGACCGGUGCCAGCCGCCGCGGUAACACCGGCGGCUCGAGUGGUAACCGCUAUUAUUGGGUCUAAAGGGUCUGUAGCCGGCCUGGUUAGUCCCUUGGGAAAUCUGGCUGCUCAACAGUCAGGCUUUCAGGGGAUACUGCUAGGCUCGAGACCGGGAGAGGUGAGAGGUACUUCAGGGGUAGGGGUGAAAUCUUGUAAUCCUUGAAGGACCACCAGUGGCGAAGGCGUCUCACCAGAACGGAUCUGACGGCAAGGGACGAAAGCUAGGGGCACGAACCGGAUUAGAUACCCGGGUAGUCCUAGCCGUAAACGAUACUCGCUAGGUGUCGGCCACGGUGCGACCGUGGUCGGUGCCGUAGGGAAGCCGUGAAGCGAGCCACCUGGGAAGUACGGCCGCAAGGCUGAAACUUAAAGGAAUUGGCGGGGGAGCAC